GUGGAGUUAACCCUGAGUUAGCCUGUCCCGGAGCAGGUUAGUUCUGAACGAUUCGUUGCCAUAGAAACGUACCUGGCUGAAAGGUGAGACACUUUCCUCUAACCGGUUAUCCUGAUUUUUUAACCUCGCUAACUCCUCAAACCUGCUCUGGACAGUAUAUCACUUAAUAUGUUGGCUACAAAGUACAACUGCCGGGCAGGUCAAAUGUAGGGAGUGGCUGAAGAUCAGUCUCCUGUAAAACUGCCAGGCAGGUCUAAUGUAGGAAGUGGCUGAAGAUCAGUCUCCUGUAGUGUCUCAAAUUGCACCCUAUUUCCUAUUUAGUGCACUAUAUUUUGUAACGGCCAAUAGGACACAAUAUAGGGAAUAGGGUGCUAUUCAGUACGCAGGCUUGGUGAGAGUAGCUGUCUGUGCUGGUUCUUGGGCCAUCCUGGGACCAGUACUGCCUGGACAAUAGGCUCUGUCUUGCUACUCGGAUGGGAGUGUGAAGGAUCAUGCAGGGCUGGUGGACCACUGGUGCUCUGGAGUGAAGGGAAACUAUCUGUGCCAUGGUGGGAAAAAAAGGUGUUUGUGCAGUGAUAAGCUCAUCAAAGUCAACAAGAGCAGCUACUUCCUGUGGGCCAAACAUCGGUAAGAAAGAGCAGCUACUUCCUGUGGGCCAAACAUCGGUAAGAAAGAGCAGCUACUUCCUGUGUGCCAAACAUCGACACCUACAGCACCCGAUAUCACAGGAAGGUCAACAAG